UCUACUGGUGGCAAUCUGCCUGGGUAGCCUGCAUAUAGCACUCAGCUAGAGUGUGCACCUUCUACAACUGCCCCACCCCUCCAAAACAUUCCCCCGAGAGGGUGACUAGGCUUGGAAACUGCCUCCCAUUGGCUUACGGGCCAGAGGUUCCUCACCCCUGCUCUACGCUGUAAAGGAGAUGAAUUUCCCACACUUGCUGUGCUUUGGAUGAGUUCCUGGGACACCAGGAGAAGAUGGAAGAGGCAUUCCUCGGAAGCAGUUCUCAUGGGUGCAGCUGCAGAGCAACGUAACUGAAUAAGGGAAGGGCCUAAGCUCAUUGGCAGAGACCAGGGGUUGUGCACAAAACGUCCCAGAUUCAACCCUAGACAUUUCCGGCUGGAGCUGGAGAUUUGUUGCCAGUAAACUAGGGAGAUGGAACGAU